CCUACGGGGGGCAGCAGUGGGGAAUAUUGGACAAUGGGGGCAACCCUGAUCCAGCCAUGCCGCGUGUGUGAAGAAGGCCCUCGGGUUGUAAAGCACUUUCAGUGAGGAAGAACGCCUGGUGGUUAAUACCCAUCAGGAAAGACAUCACUCACAGAAGAAGCACCGGCUAACUCCGUGCCAGCAGCCGCGGUAAUACGGAGGGUGCGAGCGUUAAUCGGAAUUACUGGGCGUAAAGCGCGCGUAGGUGGCUUGAUAAGCCGGUUGUGAAAGCCCCGGGCUCAACCUGGGAACGGCAUCCGGAACUGUCAAGCUAGAGUGCAGGAGAGGAAGGUAGAAUUCCCGGUGUAGCGGUGAAAUGCGUAGAGAUCGGGAGGAAUACCAGUGGCGAAGGCGGCCUUCUGGACUGACACUGACACUGAGGUGCGAAAGCGUGGGUAGCAAACAGGAUUAGAUACACGAGUAGUC
rnacentral:rRNA from 1 species